AAUGCCCACCAUUAUGUCCGCAUUCCAGCCUCAAGAAAGAGGAAAGAAGAAAGGGAGAGCAUGCAACUUUCUUUUAAGGAUGUGACCUAGAAGUGACAUACAUCACUUAGGCUCACAUGCCAUUGGUGGGAACUUAGUCAUAUGGCCACACCUAGUUGCAAGUGAGGCUGGGAUAUGUCAUUUCUAGAUGGACAAUCAUGUACCUCCCAAAAACUUGGGGAUUACUAUUACCAAAAGGAAGAAAGAAAAUAUGAAUGGGUGGGAUUGGCAGUCUCUCAUCAGUAGGAAAGCAUCAUGACUGAUGCUGAGAAUACUCUUUGCCCAAGUCUUUAUGGCCUAUAUAUGUAACUCCAUAUUACUGACAGUGUGCAUCACAGGGUGUGGUAGGUGGCUUCUAAAAUGGCCUCAAAUGAUUCCUGUCUCCUGGUACUCAUGCCCUUGUGUGAUCCCUUUUUCUUGAAUGACUUCCUUCAAGUUAAUAGACUGUUGAUAGGCUGCCACUUCUAUGAUUAGAUUAUUAAAGAUGUACCUCCAUUUUCCUGGCAGACUUUAUUGCCUUUGCAGCUUGCAAGCUUUGAUGAAGCAGCCAUGUUGGGGAGGCCCAUAUGGCAAGAAACCAAAGUCAGUCUCCAGGCAAUAGCCAACAAAGAACUGAGGUCCUCAGUCCAAUAGCCCACAAAGAACUGAAUCCUACCAAUAACCACUUGAGUUUGGAAAUGGAUCCCUUACCAAUCGAGCCUUCAGAUUAGACCCCAGCCUUGGUUGACACCUUCACUGUAGCCUUUUAUGUAAGAUCCUGAAGCAGAUGAUGCAACUAAACUGUGCCUGGACUUCUGAUGCACAGAACCCAUGAGAUAAUAAAUACUGCCAGCUCCAUGACAGCAAGAACCUUGUAUGACUUUUUCAUGAUGGAUGUUCAUCUGUGCCAUCUGU
rnacentral:lncRNA from 1 species